UGUUUUCUUCUAUUGUAUCUGAUUUUGUCUCUUUCAGUUGUAGGCACUCUUCAACAUGUCAGAUCUUUGGCUAUCUCUAUUCACUUUAAGACUGAAGCACCGAAAACUACCAGGAAGCUCCAGAGCAUGUGGAUAUGGGUAUGUGGACAGAGCCAUCAACUGACUGGCUUUUCUUUAGGAUUUUCAACACUGAGCCAAAAUUUUUGGAGGGAUAGAUGCAAAUAUCAAUUCUCUGGUUAUCUGGGAUGGGGAAGAGAUCUGGUUCCCUACACACUAUAUGCAGACUUUCACACAGUGGCUCUUGCUUUCUGAUCAGAGUCUCAUGCCUUUUUCUCAGUGGAGUCUCCAAAUCCUAAAUCUCUCAAGAGUCUGUGGUUCUACUCAAUGCCAGAGUUUUCUAUGACAGACCCUUAAGUUAUAGUCUGCUCCUUCCUGCAAAGCUGGUGACCACUAUUUCAUCUGCUUUCCAUCCUCCAAAAGCUCAUUUAAAUGUCAUGUCUGUUGUUGCCCUCCUGUUCUCUAUGUUCUUGGGUCCAUUUUUACUCCUUUAUUGUCAUUUUGGCAAAAUUUUGGUAGAGCCACACCUGUGGCCAAUCAACACUUUAAGACUAAAACUCAUCACAUGAGAACUGAAAACACUGAUCCUCAAGAAAGAAAGCAAUUAGGGACUUGAUUUCUUUCUCUCAGAAAGCUUCUUGCCACCUACACAAAUGUGUCUACUUAACUUUCUCAGAGAAAUAAUUUCUCUAGGCCAAAAGCUCUGAGUGGGUAGACAUUAACAACUAAAAGACAUAUCCUGUUAUACUGACAAGUGGAGGGGCUUAGGAGGGGAGAGAGGGAGAAAAUGAAAUGUGGCAAGCAUUGAAAGAAAGGGAGCCGAGGAGGCAAUGAGAGAUUGCAUAGCCUAGAGGAGAUGAGAGGAACAAAGAAUUCCAUGCCACUUUAUGCAGCAAAGCUCUGCUACUUUCCAUUCUUAAUAACACAUCUUAACUUACAUUUAUAUUAUUUUACACCUGGACUGUUACAAGUGUCUCCCAACAGAUAGUCCUCCUGUUCCUCUUGGCUCCCAUAAAUCCAUCACCAUAUGGUUACGUCACACUCUUGUUUAAAAUCCUUUACUGGCUCUCAUUGACCUCAGCAUGAGGGCCUAGUCACGUCUGACACACAAAGUCUUCUGUUACCUGGCCUCUGUUUGCCUCUCCAGCCUCAUCUUUCUCUACUUCCUGCCAUGUAGUUUUUCCCUUCAAUCUUCUUGUGUUCUCCCUUCAACCUGCAAUUCCCCUUGCUUGCUUAGUGCCUGGUCAUUCUCUAAGAUGCUCAGACAUUGCUCACUGACCUCAGAAAGUCCCACCACCACCUCUUCCUCUGUGUUAGGUGUUCCUCACUGGGCUUUCAUAAAAACCUAUGCUUCUACAUCCACAUUUGUUUGUGUAUGUGUGUGAGUGCAUAGGUGUGCACAUGUGUUUAAAUAGUUAUCUGUUUACUAUGUGCUCCCUAGUCUAACAUUCUCAAGGGAAAAAAAACCCAAAAACCUGCAUCUUUGAUCUCUGAAACUCUAUCACAUAAUACCUUGCACAUAAUAGGCACAGUACUGAAUGAAUUAAUGAAUGAUUGAGCAAAUGAAUGAAUUAAUUUCAGAAGGAGUCAUCUGGAUGGGGUAACUUAAAAAGCUUUCAGAGUUCCCACUGUGGUUUAGUGGUAAUGAACCUGACUAGUAUCCAUGAGGACAUGAGUUCAAUCCCUAGCCCCCCUCAGUGGAUUGAAGAUUUGGCAUUGCCAUGAGCUGCAGUGUAGGUCACAGACACAGCUCAGAUCUGGUAUUGGAAUAGCUGUGGCACAGGUAGCUGCAGCUCCAAUUCAACCCCUAACCUGGGAACCUCCAUAUGCCACAGUGCAGCCCUAAAAAGACCAAAAAAAAAGUUUCAAUCAGGGGGCUGUUCUAGAGUCAAUUCUGAAGGACCUCACUGAAUAAAUAAAAAAAUAUGUUGUCAUACCUCCCUCCAAAAUAAAUUUCUGAUGGAUCAAAGACUUAAUUUUGAAAGAGAGAAAGAGCCAUGACAAUACCAGAAGAAAGCCUGUGAGAAUGUUAUAUUUUAGAGUGGAGAAUGUUUUUCUAAUGAGAAAAUUUAAAGAACUGCGGUUUCAAAUACAUAUUUCUUUAACUACAUGAAAAAAACAUCCCAUGAACCAAGUCAAAUGACUAGCUGCAAAGACUAUUUAUAACAUGUAUAAGAAAGGGCUAAUUUCCUUAUUAAAUAUAAAGGGUCACUAUAAUGAGAAGACUUAUAAUCCAAUAGAGAAAUGAGCAAAGGCCAAGAACAGAGAGCCCACAUAUAAGGAAAUACAAAGGAAAUUUAGAUGAUUUUAAAGGUGCCCAAUUUUAUUUACAGUAAGAAAAAUAGACUAAAUAUUUGGGGAUUCCAUCCUCACUUGGAUCAGCAAAGAUUAAUCUGGUUUGCAAGGAUGGGAUGAAACAGGCAUUCUUACACAUUGUUGGUAGGGGAUGUAAAUUGAUACAAAUUUUGAAAAGGACACUUUGCCAGUAUGUAUUAAAAGUGAAAACGCACAUGCUUUUGAUCUGGCAUUUGUACUUCUAGGUGUACCUUACAUCUAGGAGUAUAAAUUUAGAUGUACUGGGCUAUCUAUUGCAUUAAUUAACAAAUAUUAAGUGCAUGUUAUGUGUAAAACUUUGUCUAAGGGUUAGAGGUUAUAAUGGUGAGCAAAACAGAGAAAGAUCAAGAUGGCAGGAGAGUAAGACAUCGCACUCACCUUCUCCCACAAACACAUAAAAAAAAAACCAUAUUUACAUGUAAAAUCAUAAACACAGAACAUCUACUGAAUGCUGGUAGAACUUAAACCUCCAAAAAGGGCAAGAAACCCUCCACAUAACCGGGUAGAACAAAAGAAAAAGAGAGAGAGAAGAAUCAGGACGGGACUAGCACUCUGAGAGGGAGCUGUUAAAGAGGAAAAGAACCCACAACCUGGGAAGCCACCUUAUUGACAGGGAGAUCAGCUGAGAUGGAAGGACUUCAAAGUCACUGAGAAAAGCACAGCAGCUGGACUGAGGAGGACAAAGCAGAGUGAGAGCUGCACAGAUCAUCUGCACCACUGCCCCGGAUAUUACAGCCUGAGACGCUCGGGGGUGGGGGCUGGAUGUGGAGACUCAGGCUCUGGAGGUCAGUUCCAGGGAAAGGACUAUGGUUGGCUGUGUGGAGACAGCCUGAGGGUCUAGGGAGUGGUGUGCCAUGGGUUAGCAAAUGGAACACCACAGCCAAGGGAACCUGGGAGAUGGGCUGGGCCUGUAGGAGAAGCAAGCUGCCAUUGUUGGGGAGGGUGAGAGGAGGAGGGGAGGACCGCCAUAGGAAUCUCUUUCCCUGUGCAUGUGCGGGCUCUCAGAGGGCAGGGUGCCUCUGGUGAGGCUAAGGGUGGCAAAAGGGCACUUGCUUGGGCUGCAGGAGACCUGGCACCUCUUCUUUGGGGUAUGGGUGGCUGGGUACCUCUUAUGUGGGCUAAGGGCAGUUGGGGAGUAAGUGUGACAUGGUGCCUUUUGUGUGAUCUACAGGUGGUGGGAAUAAACCAUAGCAGUCAUCUCAGAAACUGGAGGGGGGCAUGGCCUGCCACCACUAGGGGUCUGUGAACAGGCUCCACCUGCCACCCUAGUCACUUUAGAGGAUGGCAAAAAGGGCACUGCAACAGAGCACCACCCAAUGUUGCUCUCACUCCCCUGGGAACAUACCUGCCCUGCUGCUGCCACCACCAAAAGUUCCAGGCAGUGCCCACACAUGCCUGAUCACUGUAACUUCCCAGGACCCUGCAACUAGGAGCAGGCUAUGCAGCACCUCCUGCAUGGGCUAAGUGGGACAGAGUGAUUCUUCCAUGGUUUCCAUGGUGGUGAGGGCAAACCGCUACAGCUUUCUCUGAGUCCAGAGGUGGGCAUGACCUGCCACCACUAGGGGUCCGUGAACAGGUACCACUUGUGGCCCCGGUUACCUCAGAGGGCAACAGAGAUGAGGACAUUGCAACCAGACACCACCCAUUAUUGCUCUCCCUCCCCUGGGAACUCACACACCCUUCUGCUACCACUGCCAAAUGCUCUGGGCAUCACCUAAAUCUGCCUGAGUCUCAUUACCACUUCCCAGGGCCCUGCAACUAGGAGUAGUCUGCACCACCCUACCCAUUGCCUCCUUCUUCUUGGAAACACACUCAGCACCCUGGGGCCGACAGCCUGCUCACACAAAAGAAAGAGACAGCAAAUAUCCAAACUCCCAUGCCAAAAAUUAAUAAUAACCCCCUGCAGAAUACAAAGGGCUGCUCUUGCAUAGAAAUAGCCCUCCAAGACUACAGUAGUUGCUUUCAGUAAACUCACAGAAUAAGAAAAAUAUAAGCAAAUGAAGAAGCUCAGGAACCAUUCUCAGUUAAAAGAACAGGAGUAUUCACCUGAAGCAGCAAAUAAUGACACAGACCUCUGCAGUCUAACAGACACUGAAUUCAAAAAGGAGAUAAUGAAAAUACUGAAGGAAUUAAGGGUGCAUAUGAAGGAAUUAGGAGCAGAUGUAAACAGUAAUGCAGAUUACUUUAGACAGGAACUAGAAAAUAUAAGGAGGAGCCAAGAAAAAUUGGAAAAUUCAUUUGCAGAGAUGCAAACUGAGCUAAAGGCACCAAAGAGCAGAAUGAAUAAUGCAGAGGAAAGAACAAGUGACUUGGAAGAUAGAAUAAUGGAAAUCACCCAAUCAGGAAAGCAGACAGAAAACCAAAUGAAAAAACAUGAAAGGAAUAUAAGAGGUCUAUGGGAUAAUAUAAAGUGGUAAUAAGGAUUCCAGAAGGAGUAGAAAAACAAAAGGGGAUUGAAAAUACAUUUGAGGGGAGUUCCUGUCAUGGCUCAGUGUUUAACAAAUCCAACUAGGAACCAUGAGGUUUGGGGUUCGAUCCCUGUCCUCGCUCAGUGGGUUAAGGAUCUGGCGUUGCCUUGAGCUGUGGCGUAGGUUGCAGAUGCGGCUCAGAUCCUGUGUUGCUGUGGCUCUGGCGAAAGCCGGUGGCCUUCUGAUUAGACCCCUAGCCCGGGAACCUGCAUAUGCCACGGAAGCGGCCCUGGAAAAGGCAAAAAAAAACCAAAACCAAAAACAAAAUAUAUUUGAGGAAAUUAUGGCUGAAAACUUUCCAAAUCUAAGGAAACAGAUAUCAAGAUACAGGAAGCACAGAGGGCCCCAAACAAGUUGAACCCAAAUAGGCCCACACCGAGACAUAUUAUAAUACAAAUGGCAAAAGUUAAAGAUAAAGAGAGGAUUGUAAAGGCAGCAAGAGAAAAAGCGUUAAUUAUAAGGGAACCCCCAUAAGGCUAUCAGCUGAUUUCUCUACAUUAACACUAUAGGGUAGAAGCGGCAAGAUAUAUUCAAAGUUCUAAAAGGGAAAAAUUUGCAGCCUAGAAUAGUCUCCCAGCAAGAAUAUCAUUUAAAAUAGAAGGAGAAAUAAAGAGUUUAUCCAACAAACAAAAACUAAAAGAGUACAGCAAUACUAAACCCAUUCUAAAAGAAAUACUGAAAGGGCUUUUCUAAAUAAAAAAAAAGAAUAGGAUGGAGGAAAUGACAAUUGGAAAGCAAUCAUUUAAAUAAGCCAGGAUACAGAUCUAAAAGGAAAAAAAAAAAACCUAUUGUAAAAGUGACAAUAAACACAAGGAACAGUAAAAGGACAUACAUGAAGAUGUCAAAAAAGGACUUCAAAAUCAUAAAAUGUAGAGAAGGAAAAGUAAGAAAAUCUAGACUCUUUUAGAAUGUGUUUGAGCCUAUAUGACGAUCAGGCUAAAGCAAGCAGAUAUAGGAAGGGGUUAACAUACUUGAAAAACAGGGCAACUACAAAUCAAACCAAACAUUACAUUCACAAAAACUAAAAACAAAAGGGCACAAGCAUAAAACAAAAGGAAAUCAUCCAACCAAAAAAAAAGAAAGGAACAAAGGAGAAACAUAGAAUCACUGGAAAAAUAGGUUUAAAAUGGCAACAAAGACAUAUUUAUGAGUAAUUACCUUAAAUGUCAAUGGACUGAAUGCUCCAAUCAAAAGACAUAGAGUGGCAGAUUGGAUUAAAAAAGCAAGAGCCUACAAUAUGCUGUUUACAAAAGACUCACCUUAGGGCAAAGAUACAUAUAAAUUGAAAGUGAGAGGAUCGGAAAAGAUACGUCAUGGCAAUGGAAAAGACAGGAAAGCAGGAGUUGCAAUACUCAUAUCAGACAAAAUAGACUUUAAAACAAAGGCCAUAAAAAAUACAAAGAAGAACACUAUUUAAUUAUAAAAGGAUCCAGUCAAGAAAGGGGGUAUUACAAUUGUCAAUAUAUAUGCCCUCAUAUGGGAGCACCCAGAUACAUACAGCAAAUACCAGCAGACAUAAAAGAAGAAAUUAAUGUGAAUACAAUAAUAGUAGGAGACUCUAACACUUCACUCACAUUUACUGACAGAUCCUCUAGACAGAAAAUCAAUAAGGCAACAGAGAUCCUAAAGGACACAAUAGAAAAGUUAGACUUAGUUGACAUUUUCAGGACGUUAUAUCUAAAAAAAUCAGAAUAUACUUUCUUUUCAAGUGCAUAUGGAAUAUUCUCGAGAAUUGACCACAUACUGGGGCAUAAACUAAUCUUUUUUUUUUUUGUCUUGUCUUGUCUUUUCUAGGGCCGCACCUGCAUCAUAUGGAGGUUCCCAGGCUAGGGGUCUAAUCAGAGCUGUAGCCUCCAGCCUAUGCCAGAGCCACAGCAAUGCCAGAUCCAAGCCAGGUCUGUGACCUACACCACAGCUCACAGCAAUGCCAGAUCCUUACCCCACUGAGCAAGACCAGGGACCGAACCCCAAACCUCAUGGUUUAGUCGGAUUCGUUAACCACUGAGCCAUGACGGCAACUCCCACAAAAGUAAUCUUAACAAAUUUAAAAGUAUAGAUAUUAUUUCAAGUAACCACAAUGGCAUGAAAGUAGAAAUCAACUACGGGAAAAGAAAUGAGAAAAAACUGACUACAUGGAGACCAAACAACAUGCUACUAAAAAACCAAUGAAUCAAUGAGGAAGUCAAAAAGGAAAUUAAAAAAUACCUUGAGACAAAUGAUAAUGAAAACACAACCAUUCAAAAUCUAUGGGAUGCCACAAAAAGCAGUGCCUAGAGGGAAAGUUCAUUUCAAGACAGGCCUUCCUCAAAAAAGAAUAAAAAUCUCAAAUCAACAACUUAACACACCACCUAGAAUUAGAAAAAGAAGAA
rnacentral:lncRNA from 1 species